CCUACGGGAGGCAGCAGUGGGGAAUAUUGCGCAAUGGGGGCAACCCUGACGCAGCCAUGCCGCGUGAAUGAAGAAGGCCUUCGGGUUGUAAAGUUCUUUCGGUAGCGAGGAAGGCAUUUAGUUUAAUAAACUAAGUGAUUGACGUUAACUACAGAAGAAGCACCGGCUAACUCCGUGCCAGCAGCCGCGGUAAUACGGAGGGUGCGAGCGUUAAUCGGAAUAACUGGGCGUAAAGGGCACGCAGGCGGUGACUUAAGUGAGGUGUGAAAGCCCCGGGCUUAACCUGGGAAUUGCAUUUCAUACUGGGUCGCUAGAGUACUUUAGGGAGGGGUAGAAUUCCACGUGUAGCGGUGAAAUGCGUAGAGAUGUGGAGGAAUACCGAAGGCGAAGGCAGCCCCUUGGGAAUGUACUGACGCUCAUGUGCGAAAGCGUGGGGAGCAAACAGGAUUAGAUACCCCAGUAGUC
rnacentral:rRNA from 1 species